AAACAUCAUUGUAUAUAUGAGCCAAUAAUGUCAUCACUUCUCCUUUUGGCAUGGGAGAAGGGUUUUAAACAAAGUGAGCAUAUUUACUCUGAUCUAUGGAUAACUGUAGGAACAUCCACAGCGACCCAAUUGUGGCAGACACCACCAGGAAUGACAAAAUUGCUCAUAUCUUCUGCAUCUUCUUCAAUGAUAGCAGCAGCUUCC
rnacentral:lncRNA from 1 species